rnacentral:sRNA from 1 species
GGAAGAAGACGAAGAAGAAGAAGAGAGAAACU